rnacentral:rRNA from 1 species
UCCAGACUCCUACGGGAGGCAGCAGUGGGGAAUAUUGCACAAUGGGGGAAACCCUGAUGCAGCGACGCCGCGUGAAGGAUGAAGUAUUUCGGUAUGUAAACUUCUAUCAGCAGGGAAGAAAAUGACGGUACCUGACUAAGAAGCCCCGGCUAACUACGUGCCAGCAGCCGCGGUAAUACGUAGGGGGCAAGCGUUAUCCGGAUUUACUGGGUGUAAAGGGAGCGUAGACGGUAGAGCAAGUCUGAAGUGAAAGCCCGCGGCUCAACUGCGGGACUGCUUUGGAAACUGUUCAACUGGAGUGCUGGAGAGGUAAGCGGAAUUCCUAGUGUAGCGGUGAAAUGCGUAGGUAUUAGGAGGAACACCAGUGGCGAAGGCGGCUUACUGGACAGUAACUGACGUUGAGGCUCGAAAGCGUGGGGAGCAAACAGGAUUAGAUACCCCAGUAG